rnacentral:rRNA from 1 species
GACGAACGCUGGCGGCGUGCUUAACACAUGCAAGUCGAACGGAAAGGCCCCUUUGGGGGUCUCCGAGUGGCGACGGGGUGAGUAACACGUGAGUAACCUGCCCUUGAUUCUGGGUUAACUUCAGGAAACUGGGGCAAAUACCGGAUAGGAAUCCUUGCUCCAUGGUGGGGGUUGGAAAGCUCUGGGGGUUUUGGAUGGAUUCGCGGCUUAUCAGCUUGUUGGUGGGGUAGUGGCUUACCAGGGCUUUGACGGGUAGCCGGCCAGAGGGGGCGACCGGCCACAUUGGGACUGAGAUACGGCCCAGACGCCUACGGGAGGCAGCAGUGGGGAAUAUUGCACAAUGGGCGGAAGCCGGAUGCAGCAACGCCGCGUGCGGGAGGACGGCCUUCGGGUUGUAAACCGCUUUCAGCAGGGGCGAAGCUUGUGGUGACGGUACCUGCAGAAGAAGCACCGGCUAACUACGUG